AGAGUUUGAUCUUGGCUCAGAUUGAACGCUGGCGGAAUGCUUUACACAUGCAAGUCGAACGGCAGCACGGGGCAACCUGGUGGCGAGUGGCGAACGGGUGAGUAAUACAUCGGAACGUGCCCAAUCGUGGGGGAUAACGUAGCGAAAGUUACGCUAAUACCGCAUACGAUCUACGGAUGAAAGCGGGGGAUCGCAAGACCUCGCGCGAGUGGAGCGGCCGAUGUCAGAUUAGGUAGUUGGUGGGGUAAAGGCUCACCAAGCCAACGAUCUGUAGCUGGUCUGAGAGGACGACCAGCCACACUGGAACUGAGACACGGUCCAGACUCCUACGGGAGGCAGCAGUGGGGAAUUUUGGACAAUGGGCGCAAGCCUGAUCCAGCCAUUCCGCGUGCAGGAUGAAGGCCUUCGGGUUGUAAACUGCUUUUGUACGGAACGAAACGGCGAGCUCUAAUACAGUUUGCUAAUGACGGUACCGUAAGAAUAAGCACCGGCUAACUACGUG
rnacentral:rRNA from 1 species